rnacentral:rRNA from 1 species
CAGUCGCCGCGGUAAUACGAAGGGGGCUAGCGUUGUUCGGAUUUACUGGGCGUAAAGGGCGCGUAGGCGGGCUGAUAAGUCGGGGGUGAAAUCCCAAGGCUCAACCUUGGAACUGCCUUUGAUACUGUUGGUCUUGAGUCCGGGAGAGGUGAGUGGAACUGCGAGUGUAGAGGUGAAAUUCGUAGAUAUUCGCAAGAACACCAGUGGCGAAGGCGGCUCACUGGACGCGUAUUGACGCUGAGGUGCGAAAGCGUGGGGAGCAAACAGGAUUAGAUACCCGGGUAGUCCCUGUCUCUUAUAC